rnacentral:pre_miRNA from 1 species
AAAAAAAAAAACCCUGGGUUUCCGUGUCCAACGUUUGACUCUCCGUUUUAUAUGAUUUAUUUUUAUAAUUAGUAUUUUCAUUGUUGUUAGAUGAUAAAACAUGAUUAAUACUUUAUGUGUGACUUGUCUUUUUAAUUUUUUUUCACAUUUUUUCAAAUAAGAUGAACGGUCAAACGUUGGACACGGAAAUCCAUG